GAUGAAGAACGUAGCGAAACGCGAUAUGUAAUGUGAAUUGCAGAAUUCAGUGAAUCAUCGAAUCUUUGAACGCACAUGGCGCCUUCCAGUAUCCUGGGAGGCAUGCCUGUCCGAGCGUCGUUUCAACCCUCGAGCCCCCGUGGCCCGGCGUUGGGGAUCUGCCCAGGCAGUCCCCGAAAACCAGUGGCGGACCCGUUACAGGCCCUUCCCUUGCGUAGUAGCAUUCGCCUCGCAUCGGGAGCCGGCGGGCUUCCAGCCUCUAAACCCCCAUCAAGUCCGCCCCGGCGGCACCGAGGUUGACCUCGGAUCAGGUAGGAAUACCCGCUGAACUUAAGCAUAUCAAUAAGCGGAGGA
rnacentral:misc_RNA from 1 species